rnacentral:sRNA from 1 species
GGGCGUGAGGCUGAUGUGGCUGUGCUAUCUGCCACGAGCUGAUCGCUAGGUUGGUUUGGCUGACAUGGCUGGGUUGGUAGGUGCUCCCUGCUUUUUCCUCUUCAGUCCAUGCAUCCUUCCUGAAGCUUCUUCCUGUUGAGGACAACCCUCUCCAACAGGGCCCCCCUGGCCUUAGUGUGCAGAGUGCUGAGUGUUUCUAUGGAAAUCUCCAAACAAGCUUUUAAGGUCCAAAUCUGGACCUUGA